AGCGAACGCUGGCGGCAGGCCUAACACAUGCAAGUCGAACGAAGUCUUCGGACUUAGUGGCGGACGGGUGAGUAACACGUGGGAACGUACCUUUUGGUUCGGAACAACUCAGGGAAACUUGAGCUAAUACCGGAUGAACCCUUAGGGGGAAAGAUUUAUCGCCGAAAGAGCGGCCCGCGUUAGAUUAGCUAGUUGGUGAGGUAAAGGCUCACCAAGGCUACGAUCUAUAGCUGGUCUGAGAGGAUGAUCAGCCACACUGGGACUGAGACACGGCCCAGACUCCUACGGGAGGCAGCAGUGGGGAAUCUUGCGCAAUGGGCGAAAGCCUGACGCAGCCAUGCCGCGUGAAUGAUGAAGGUCUUAGGAUUGUAAAAUUCUUUUACCAGGAACGAUAGUGACGGUACCUGGAGAAAAAGCCCCGGCUAACUUCGUGCCAGCAGCCGCCGCUGUAA
rnacentral:rRNA from 1 species